UGCCAGCCGCCGCGGUAAUACGGAGGGGGUUAGCGUUGUUCGGAAUUACUGGGCGUAAAGCGCACGUAGGCGGAUCAGAAAGUUAGGGGUGAAAUCCCGGGGCUUAACCCCGGAACUGCCUCUAAAACUGGUAAGCUAGAGGAUGUGAGAGGAGUGUGGAAUUCCGAGUGUAGAGGUGAAAUUCGUAGAUAUCGGGAGGAAUACCGGUGGCGAAGGCGACCACCUGGCCAAAUACUGACGCUGAGGUGCGAAAGCGUGGGGAGCAAACAGGAUUAGAUA
rnacentral:rRNA from 1 species